CAGAUCCAGUUCAGCCCUCAGCGCAACUCGGUCCAGUCGGGGCGGCGGCUGCGGGCGCAGAGCGGAGAUGCAGCGGCUUGGGGCCACCCUGCUGUGCCUGCUGCUGGCGGCGGCGGUCCCCACGGCCCCCGCGCCCGCUCCGACGGCGACCUCGGCUCCAGUCAAGCCCGGCCCGGCUCUCAGCUACCCGCAGGAGGAGGCCACCCUCAAUGAGAUGUUCCGCGAGGUUGAGGAACUGAUGGAGGACACGCAGCACAAAUUGCGCAGCGCGGUGAAAGAGAUGGAGGCAGAAGAAGCGGCUGCUAAAGCGUCAUCAGAAGUGAACCUGGCAAACUUACCUCCCAGCUAUCACAAUGAGACCAACACAGACACGAAGGUUGGAAAUAAUACCAUCCAUGUGCACCGAGAAAUUCACAAGCCCAAACUACAAUCGAGAAUCAUAAAAUAUGGAUUGAAAACCAGAAAGAGUAAUGUUACUGUUGAAAGUGGGGAGACAAUGUAUCAGGAUCCUAAACUGCUUUUGCAUUUAAGCAAUAUAUUUAACCCUAGGCUUCCUGCCAGUCCAGUUGCAAAGGAAUGUCCAGGGAUUAUCAUUUGAAAAAAAGAAAGCAAAUGAAUGUCUAAAAAGACCCUUUCCUAGCAUUGAAUUUGUGGAAUUGAUCUAUCUCAUAGGUUUUUAUGUAUGUCUCAGUAGGGAUUGAACUACAGACCACGUUA
rnacentral:sRNA from 1 species